UUCACUUCCUUUCUUUUCCUUUCCCUGCUAGAUUCCCAAACAUGAAAUGAGGUGGCAUCGUGAGAAGAGAGCAUUUGGGCAUUGCAAUUGCAAACCACGCCACCCACAGGAGUCGGUUGCUACACGGAGAUCUCAAAGGCACAAAAGAGCUAUGGCUGAUUUAUCUAUGCCAAAAUCAGAUUCAGCUGUUCACAUAAUCUACACCGAGAGGCCUCAGAACGAGGACCCCGAAACCUACCACAUCCGCACCCUUGCUUCCGUCCUCGGCAGCGAGGACGCAGCGAAAGAGACACUGUAUGCUCAACAACAAGACCCACUUCGCAUCCUUCAAGAAAACUAGUUGAUCGAGUUCUCACUUCAAAUCUCGCAUUCGGAUUCGAGAUGGAAGUUGGAGGCGUUGCUCUGCUCUGCACAAAGUUUCUUUUCUGUAAGUGCACACGGCAGAAAUCUCUCUCCAUUUUUAAACAAUUCGAUCUUCCAAACCCAAACCGACCAGGCACAUGCAUCUCCUCCUGGUUAUUUUGUUCGUCUGCAGAAAAGAAAAGGUCCAAAGGCAGCUCCUGUCAAAGCUGAUGCUCAGAAGGUUGUACCACCUAUUGAAGUGCCAGCACUAUCCUUGCACAUGGGGGGCACCCACUCAUUUCUUUAUUGUUUUCUUUUACUCACCCAUGUGACCCACGAUGCAACCUAUACUUUUUCUUUUCUUUACACUCUUGUUCCCCACUUUCUUUAUUAUAUAUAUAUAUAUAUAUAUAUCUUUUUAUUAUAUUAUAUUAAAAAAAAAA